rnacentral:rRNA from 1 species
UACGAAGGGGGCUAGCGUUGCUCGGAAUCACUGGGCGUAAAGGGCGCGUAGGCGGCGUUUUAAGUCGGGGGUGAAAGCCUGUGGCUCAACCACAGAAUGGCCUUCGAUACUGGGACGCUUGAGUAUGGUAGAGGUUGGUGGAACUGCGAGUGUAGAGGUGAAAUUCGUAGAUAUUCGCAAGAACACCGGUGGCGAAGGCGGCCAUCUGGACGACAACUGACGCUGAGACGCGAAAGCGUGGGGAGCAAACAGG